rnacentral:rRNA from 1 species
GCUUAGAAGCAGCCACCCUUGAAAGAGUGCGUAAUAGCUCACUGGUCAAGUGAUUGUGCGCCGAUAAUGUAGCGGGGCUCAAGCACACCGCCGAAGCCGCGGCAACGCAGCAAUGCGUUGGGUAGGGGAGCGUCCUGCAUCCGGUGAAGCCACGGAGUGAUCCAGUGGUGGAGGGUGUGGGAGUGAGAAUGCAGGCAUGAGUAGCGAUAAGGCAAGUGAGAACCUUGCCCGCCGAAAGACCAAGGGUUCCUGGGGCAGGCCAGUCCGCCCAGGGUGAGUCGGGACCUAAGGCGAGGCCGACAGGCGUAGUCGAUGGACAACGGGUUGAUAUUCCCGUACCCGUGUGUGAGCGCCCAAUGACGAAUCAUCGGUACUAACCGCCCAAAAGGUGACUAACCGAGUCCUUUUAGGACAAGGGGGUCGCCGGCUGCGCGGGACCUUCGGUGGUAGUAGUCAAGCGAUGGGGUGACGCAGGAAGGUAGCCGUACCAGUCAGUGGUAAUACUGGGGCAAACCUGUAGCGCGAGAUCUAGGCAAAUCCGGAUCUCUUCAUGCGUGAGAGGUGAUGCAUAGCCGAGUGAGGCGAAUUCGGUGAUCCUCAGCUGCCGAGAAAAGCCUCUAGCGAGCACACACACGGCCCGUACCCCAAACCAACACAGGUGGUCAGGUAGAGAAUACCGAGGCGUACGAGUGAACUAUGGUUAAGGAACUCGGCAAAAUACCCCCGUAACUUCGGGAGAAGGGGGACCCCCUGCGGUCAAGGCCCACGCGGCCGGCAGCGGCGGGGGGUGGCACAAACCAGUGAGAAGCGACUGUUUACUAAAAACACAGGUCCGUGCGAAGUCGCAAGACGAUGUAUACGGACUGACGCCUGCCCGGUGCUGGAAGGUUAAGAGGACCCGUUAACCCCUCGGGGUGAAGCGGAGAAUUUAAGCCCCAGUAAACGGCGGUGGUAACUAUAACCAUCCUAAGGUAGCGAAAUUCCUUGUCGGGUAAGUUCCGACCUGCACGAAUGGCGUAACGACUUCUCAACUGUCUCAACCAUAGACUCGGCGAAAUUGCACUACGAGUAAAGAUGCUCGUUACGCGCGGCAGGACGAAAAGACCCCGGGACCUUCACUAUAGCUUGGUAUUGGCGUUCGAUACGGUUUGUGUAGGAUAGGUGGGAGACUGUGAAACUCACACGCCAGUGUGGGUGGAGUCGUUGUUGAAAUACCACUCUGAUCGUAUUGGACUUCUAACCUCGAACCGUCUAUCCGGUUCAGGGACAGUGCCUGGUGGGUAGUUUAACUGGGGCGGUUGCCUCCUAAAAUGUAACGGAGGCGCUCAAAGGUUCCCUCAGCCUGGUUGGCAAUCAGGUGUCGAGUGUAAGUGCACAAGGGAGCUUGACUGUGAGACUGACAGGUCGAGCAGGGACGAAAGUCGGGACUAGUGAUCCGGCACCCCCGAGUGGAAGGGGUGUCGCUCAACGGAUAAAAGGUACCCCGGGGAUAACAGGCUGAUCUUCCCCAAGAGUCCAUAUCGACGGGAUGGUUUGGCACCUCGAUGUCGGCUCGUCGCAUCCUGGGGCUGGAGUAGGUCCCAAGGGUUGGGCUGUUCGCCCAUUAAAGCGGCACGCGAGCUGGGUUUAGAACGUCGUGAGACAGUUCGGUCUCUAUCCGCCGCGCGCGUCAGAAGCUUGAGGAAACCUGUCCCUAGUACGAGAGGACCGGGACGGACGAACCUCUGGUCCACCAGUUGUCCCACCAGGGGCACCGCUGGAUAGCCACGUUCGGACAGGAUAACCGCUGAAAGCAUCUAAGCGGGAAACCUUCUCCAAGACCAGGCUUCUCACCCAUCAAGUGGGAUAAGGCCCCCCGCAGAACACGGGAUCGAUAGACCAGACCUACACACCCCGCAAGGGGCGCAGGGAACUGGCACUAACCGGCCGAAAACUUACAACA